rnacentral:rRNA from 1 species
AGCUCCAAUAGCGUAUAUUAAAGUUGCUGCAGUUAAAAAGCUCGUAGUUGCAUUUCCGAGGCAAGGGAUUAGUCCGACCUUUGGUGGGUAUUUAAUCCUCUUGCCUCGUCCUUGAGUGGUGCUUCUUGGUAUUAAGUUAUCGAGGAGAUAGCCGCUCAUCGUUUACUGUGAGAAAAUUAGAGUGUUCAAAGCAGGCUUAUGCCGUUGAAUAUAUUAGCAUGGAAUAAUAAGAUAGUACCUCGGUACUAUUUUGUUGGUUUGAGAACCAAGGUAAUGAUGAAUAGGGACAGUUGGGAGUAUUCGUAUUCAGUUGUCAGAGGUGAAAUUCUUAGAUUUACGGAAGACGAACUACUGCGAAAGCAUUUACCAAGGAUGUUUUCA